rnacentral:rRNA from 1 species
GGCUCGAAAGAGAGCCGUAACACAGGUGCUGCAUGGCUGUCGUCAGCCCGUGUCGUGAGAUGUUGGGUUAAGUCCCGCAACGAGCGCAACCCUUGUCAUUAGUUGCUACAUUUAGUUGGGCACUCUAAUGAGACUGCCGGUGACAAACCGGAGGAAGGUGGGGAUGACGUCAAGUCCUCAUGGCCCUUAUAGGUGGGGGCUACACACGUCAUACAAUGGCCGGUACAAAGGGCUGCCAACCCGCGAGGGGGAGCCAAUCCCAUAAAACCGGUCGUAGUCCGGAUCGCAGUCUGCAACUCGACUGCGUGAAGUCGGAAUCGCUAGUAAUCGUGGAUCAGAAUGUCACGGUGAAUACGUUCCCGGGUCUU